UGUGAAUCUCCUGCUUAAAUGGGCAAGU
rnacentral:piRNA from 1 species